rnacentral:rRNA from 1 species
AACGAACGCUGGCGGCGUGCUUAACACAUGCAAGUCGAACGCGAAAGGGGCUUCGGUCCUGAGUAGAGUGGCGCACGGGUGAGUAACGCGUAGAUAACCUGUCCUGGUGUCUGGAAUAAUAUCUCGAAAGGGGUGCUAAUACCGGAGAUUCUUGCUUUCUAUAAGGUAUGCAAGGAAAGGUGGCCUCUGGAACAAGCUACUGCACGAGGAGGGGUCUGCGUACCAUUAGGUAGUAGGUGGGGUAAUGGCCUACCUAGGCGACGAUGGUUAGCGGGUCUGAGAGGAUGAUCCGCCACACUGGUACUGGAACACGGACCAGACUCCUACGGGAGGCAGCAGUGAGGAAUAUUGCGCAAUGGGGGCAACCCUGACGCAGCGACGCCGCGUGAGUGAGGAAGGCCUUCGGGUCGUAAAGCUCUGUCAAAGGGGAAGAAGUGCAUGGUGGUUAAUAUCUGUCAUGUUUGACGGUACCCUUAAAGGAAGCACCGGCUAACUCCGUGCCAGCCGCCGCCGUAA